UGUGGAUGUAGCUCAGUGGUAGAGCUUUUGCCUAAUGUGCAUGAGACCCCGUGUUUAAUUCCAGCACCACAA
rnacentral:tRNA from 1 species